ensembl:lncRNA
CUCCGCGCGGACGGCGCUACUUCCCGCGGGGCCCAAGGACCCCAGUCGUCGGUGAGGGGAGCGUGCAAUUGGCUGCGGCGGCGUUGCCGCUGCAGAGGAACUAGCGAGAAGAGUGGGGCCAAGUCGCUUUCACCUCCUCCGCGGCCGCCUCUCUAUGGUAGUCCGCGGAGGCCUGAUUUGAUGGACCCGGUGGAAACAAAGAUGCCGGUGCUGUGCCCUCCGGCUAGGCGCGGCCUGGUCGCAGCUAUUGUCUGGCUGCCUGUCGGGAAGCAGCAGCUCUAUUUUUCUUUUGCCGAACUUGGUGUUUCGCGGCUGCGGAGGGACUGACGAGGAGCCUUUGUCUGCGGGAGAAGAGCUGUGGCGAAGCGGCUCUUACUGAAUGGCCACCGGGGCGCUCUCUGCGGGCUCCGCUGGCGAUGUUUUCCUUGUCAUUUAAACCCGGGAAAAUCUGCUUUUCCUCUCCUGACGUUUUCAUUCUAAUUGGAGUCUUGGCGUCUGAGUCGUAGAGGACUACCCUCUAUCUCCUUUAGCGAAUCCGAAAUUUGAGGGGCCGAGUUCUCUUCGGACCCUUAGCACAUCUUUUCCUCCCUCAGAAAGAGUUGAAUUGGAAAACCGUGGAGGUGGGCGAGGCUCACACAGACUCAGCCCUGAGAUUUGUUUUGCUGAAUCCACGCUGAUGCCUCAGACGUAGGCAUGGGGAGGGGGUUUAAGGUUCUUUGGGGACCCCAUUAUUCUAUGACUGCUUAGUGGAUAUCCAGAGAACCUGCCCGAUCAGAGAAGGUGGAGGCUGCCAAACCUCAGAAAGGGGCUUCCAGUCCGCUGCAAAGGCGUCUGUUGGUUUGUUACACGACGGCCUCGGUGACAAAAGAGGGGAGGAGGGUGUUUUUUGAGAGCAUUGCUGAUCUCCUGUUUCCGUUCGUAGCAUUUCUUACCACCUGCUAGAUGUUGCAUAUUUUAUAUAUUUAUUGUUUGACUUCUCUUCCCCCACUUGAUCUAACCCUGAGUGAGCAGGGAAAGGUUGUUCACUGUGGUUGCCUGGCGCCUAGCACAGUGCCUGGUGAAGUACUGGGGGCUUCGUAAAUAUUUACUGACUGAAUGGAAAACACAUGGCAAAUUCUUUAAAGGAAUCGUGAGAGAAGCACAAAACCGAAAGCCAUGUGACACCGGGAAAUUGAUCUCAAACCCGCUCUUUUUAUUUCAGAGCAGUGUUCAGAGCAGUGAUCGGUAAGGAAUGGCCAAGAGACAGUGAUACUCCACAUUUUGCAAAGGAGAAUAGUGAAAAGAAUGAGCUUUACGUCUAGGGUGCUCUCCACUUCACUCUAGGGAUUAAUUCUCUGAGGUGAACCCACUAAAAAUCUUUGAAGAAAAUUGAAACCCUUUUUCAAUAGUCCUAUGUGCCCCUCAGACACCUGCUCAGCCCCUUCUGGGGGUUUGGGCGGCUUGUCUGAUGAGCAAGACAUGGGUCUUUGGGACAUUCAGAACACAAGACGGACACCAAUGAGCCACAGAAAUACUUUUCUGUGCUGGACCCUCUGUAUCAUGUAUCAUGUUGGAGACACAUCUAGGGAGUGUUUUCACAUGAAAAUUAGUUUGCUAAAUUCUACUACCUGAAAGCCCUUUCCUAAAGGACCCCAGGGGGUGCUGAUUCAUAAAUGAUGGAUUAAUUUUGAAGGAAGUGAAAGUGGGGUGCUUUGAGAGUGAACAGCCAGCUUCUCUAAAGAAUUACCCUUGUAAAACAUCCGUUUCUUUGAAACUUUUGUUUAGGAAACGGCCACACUUUGGCCAGGAAAGUUUAUAAUACCUGUCAAAGGUUGAAAAGUCCUUCACAAAAAAUAAGUUUAAGAUGUCAUAUAUUAAUUUCUCAGCGAGCCGGUAAUCAUCUCAUUCUGGUAUGCAGAACUGGAGGUAUCAUGUAAGAUCAUUCAACAAAUAUACUGUAUUUAUUGACAUUAUUCCUUGUUCUAGGUGUUGCAGAUAAAGCAGUGGAAAAAAAAAUUCCUCUCCUAUUUUAUAUUGUUCUACUUCUAGACCCUUUCAUCUUUUCACUACCUUUUUUUUUCUUAUUUUCACCUUUCAUCUGCCAUCUACUUUACCACUUUUUUCAAAACGUUUCUUUGUUCUGCCCCUCACUUCAUCCAAAAUAUGAACAUACAAAAAUACAUGAUGAAAUCCGUUUUAAAAAUCAAGUCCUUUUAAAAACAUAGCUUUUUGCCAAAAAGAAUCCAUUUCUAAAAUGUGCGUUUAUGGCUAUAAUUUUUGCAAGUUUAAAAAUGAUUUUGCUGUUUCCUUCAUUUCUCUGUUGUAUAAGUGAAGAUAAUUACUGUUCAGUCAGCUUUCACCCUUCCAUGAGAAUAUUUCCUUCACCCAGACUUUGCCUAAGGACACCAAUCUUACAAGAAAACACAAUGAAAUAUUAUGUGGAGAAUAGGAUGCAUGUGUGCUCAGUCAUGUCUGACUCUUUGGACUGUAGCCUGCUGGGCUCCUCUGUCCAUGGGAUUCUCCAGGUAAGAAUACUUCAGUGAGUUGCUGUUCUAGGAGAUCUUCCUGACCCAGGUAUCAAGCCUGUAUCUCCUGCCUCUUGCAUUGGCAGGCAUAUUCUUUACCACUGUGCCACUGUACCAAUAUUAACUUUUUUAAAGUAGAGGUGUUCCUUUUCCAGAUUUUUAAAAAAGGAAUAAACUGAAUGUUGGCUUAGAGAUUUGGAAGAGAAAUGUACAAGAAGAUUCUAGUGCACAACACAGUAGCAGAAGGACUUUUCUUAGUUGUACUACCUAGUCUUUCACCAUUUUUCUCUAAUUUUUUUCCCUUUCAUUCAGUCCAAAAUUGCUCACUGGCCCAAAUGUUCCUUGAAGAUUAUGGCUUAACUACAGCACUCCCCUUUCCCCAUUUAAAUAUGUUAUGUUUCAAACUUGCUUACACAUUCUUCUGAAUAAUCCCUAUAUUCCUGCUAAUUCCCUUCAGCCUGAACCGAGGAAGCAGACAGCCUCUCUGUCCUCCCUCCCCUCCCCUCCUCCAGCCCUACUCCCAACCCCCAGUUGCUCAAACCUAGGAAUUAGAGAUGAAUUUCCCAACAUGCUAGUGAUUCUCAACCUUGGUUGGCAUAUUAGAAUCACCCGGGGGGACUUUUAAAAAAAUACUGGUUUCAUGGGCCUACCCCUGACCUUAGAAUCUGUGGAUUUAGAGUUCCAGCAUUGGUGUUUUUGUAAAGCUCUCAGGAGAUUCUAAUGAAAGGUAGUUUCAGAAACAGUGCAGUGGGCAGCUCAAGUAUCUGUUUAGGGCAGUGAUUCUCAAACUUCAGGGCUUCAGAAUCACCUGAAAGGGCUUAUUAUAAUACAGAUUGCUAGGUUCUAGCAAUCAGAGGUUCUGAUUCAGUAAAUUAGGGGUGGGACCAGAGAAUUAGCAUUUCUGACAAGUUCUCGGAGGAUGGUGCUGCUGCUGGUUUAGGAUUACACUUUGGGAGCCACUGUCCUAGGACACCCGGAUAAAUGGACACCAAGAAAAAAAUGAGAGGGGUUGGGGGGAACCCAGAAAGAUUCAUAUUUCAAACAAAGCUUCUAAGUAACUCUCAUGGUACAAAUCAGAAACUUUGAGCUUCCUUACCUUUGCCAACAAAGGUCUAUCUAGUCAAGGCUUAUGAUUUUUCCAGUAGUCAUGUAUGGAUGUGAGAGUUGGACUAUAAAGGAAGCUGAGCACCAGAGAAUUGAUGCUUUUGAACUGUGGUGUUGGAGAAGACUCUUGAGAGUCCCUUGGACUGCAAGGAGAUCCAACCAGUCCAUCCCAAAGGAAAUCAGUCCUGAAUAUUUAUUGGAAGGACUGAUGUUGAAGCUGAAACUCCAAUACUUUGGCCACCUCAUGCGAAGAGCUGACUCACUUGAAAAGACCCUGAUACUGGGAAAGAUUGAAGGCAGGAAGAGAAGGGGAUGACAGAGGAUGAGACAGUUGGAUGUCAUCACUGACUCAAUGGACAUGAGUUUGGGUGAUGGGUGAAUGUAUCUUGCGUGUUGAGCACUGUGACAGAGAACUUGACCCAUGGAGGGCAUACAAAUAAGAUUGCAAGAAGACCUGUCAGAGUUAUGGAAAUGAAAGGGGUGCCUCAGCUGGAUGACCCAAAGUGACCUCAUGUACUUCCGGGCGUUGGUGCUGUCAGCUGGGUAUUUGUGCCAAGGCUAUGACAUGGAUUACCUGGUUGAAUCUUCAUAAGAAGUAAGAAAAGCACUAAUGUUGUAUCCAAUAUUUAAAGAAGAAACUGAGGCUUGGAGUUCUGGGACAGAGACUGGUGGAGAGGCCCAGAGCCGACGUAGACCGAGACGAAGACGAG